rnacentral:rRNA from 1 species
AUGGGAUUGACGGCGGACCUAUGUCCAUCUAACGACUCAAGAUUGGUGCAGUGGUGGACGGAAGCUAGGAAAAGAAUAGAUAAGCAAUCUCGGAAAGGCUUUGACACUUUUGUGAUGCUAAUCUGUUGGACGCUAUGGAAGCAAAGGAACGCGAGAGUAUUUGGCACGGGCAUGAUCAAGAGCGAGUGGGAUACGGUGGACAUGAUCUUUGAUAAUCUGAGGACCUGGGCCAGAGCAGGAGCCUUCGGAGGUCAUCUAUUAUUAGAGUAG